AUUCUUGUGUGCUCAAGUUCCGAAGAGAGUUACUAAGUGUUCAGUGUUCGGUUACAAAACUAGAGAGAGUGUAAACUGCACUCCACAACACCUCAGAACAACACCUCAUCAUAAUCCUGACAUUUUGCUCUGUCGUAGGGAUGAUUUUUAGUUACCCGUCUACCUCUGGGACUGUGUCAGGCUGUGGCUAGUCAGACAAACUGUAACAAAAUGCUUCUCUUGUGUACCAUCCAGGCUCAGCUGAUAUGGACAGCAUCCCGAAGAAUUCCCCAGGCAACCUCAGCAUGAGUAACCAACCUGGCACCCCGAGAGACGACGGCGAGAUGGGAGGCAGCUUCCUCAACCCCUUUCAGAAUGAAAGCGUACGUGCACUCGUGCUCUUAUAGUUCAGUGUGGGGAUAGUGUUGCACCGUACCCUCCAAACUGUGAUCACAUUGUGUAGCAUGCUGAAUGUGUUAGGCAAUGUGUUGUACAGUGUUAUUGCACUCUUUACUCUGGCUGGUUUUAGUUUUUUUUUUUUUUUAAAUAUGAAUGAGUAACAGGAGGAGAAAUUAUAUUUUUGCUGAUUACAUGUAAUAUGAAUACCAAUAGGACACCCUUUAGUGAUACGUAACAUAGUUUGGGAUUACAGGGGUUUUGAUGAAUGCUUUUUGUGUAAUUUAUUGUAAUCUUUGUUUUUGUUGUUGUAGUACUCUCCAAACAUGACCAUGAGUGUGUGAGCAUCGUUUUUUGAGGUCCUAAGGAGUCGACAAGGGAAUUAAGUUGUGCGAACGCGCUGUAGCCAGCCCUCUUUUACAAUCUGAAGAAAGUGGGUCCAAGUCCUCCUCUCCUCCCCCCUCCCCCUCCCUCUCCCUCCAUCAUUCUCUUUUGUAAUGUUGUUUCACUUCUUCAGCUACAGAGGACUGAGAGCUGAGCUCUAAAUAAACCACACAGAGGGAAGACUACGACAAGUUAACAAUGUUUAUAUUUGUAUCUUUUGUGUAUAUAUGUGGGUGUACAAUCAGAAGUUACAUGUGCAUGUGUAUACAAAUGGAAGUAUAUUACUUGAUCCGUGUAUGGACAGGGAAGAAAACACAACAGACAAACAAAAACUGUAUAUAUUGAGGUUGAACAUCCGUGGUAUGUCUCAUUUUCAACUAAAUCAUUUCUUAUUAUUCAAGAAUGUCUCCCCCUGAUGAUUUUUGUAUAUAUAAAAAAUUACGUGAAGUACAAAGGAAGGGCACAGCCAUUAAUUGACUGGGUACUGAAACAACUAAUGAGAGGUAAGCACUGAUUGCUGGAGAUGGCUGUGGUCAUAUUAUAAAUAUAGAUAAGAACAGAUCAUUAUACAAAAUGUUUCUGUGUAACAAACAACCCUUUGUAUUCGUACUAAACACUUCAGCAGCCAUCCCCUCUUGCUGUGGCAUAGGAUUGUGAGGAGUCAUGGUUGACCUCAAGGAACUCUAGUGAUAAUGCCCUGUCUGGCCUUGUGUGUUUCUGGCAAGCUGUUACCGAGAAACAGAAGGAUGAUUUAACAGCAUGUAUAAUUAUACAGAUAAUUGUAGCACCAUGUAUGUCUGCCUCAAAUUUGACAGACUUCUUGCCAGAGUGUUGUAAAACAUUUUGAAUAUUUGCAUUUAAAAGCAAACAUGGCUGAAGGGUUGGAGGUGAGAGUAACGGGAUCCAGGAGGCGAUGUUCAGAGAGAUGGUGAGGAGCUUGUUUCUCACGGGCCCACAUGAAACGAUAAAAAUGCUCCUCUCUACAUCUUACUCUUUUUUUCUUUAUUUAUAGUUGUUACCCGGAAAUACUGUGAUUUUCUUUCACUGCGAUUUUUUUUUUUAUCUGGGUUUGUUGCUUAAGUUGAACCAUAUUAUAAUCAUUGUUACCAUUGUUGCUAUUGAUAUUAUGAUACAUUUACUAAACAUUUUUACACAGCAAAGUGUAAUUUUAUAGCCUGGGAAUUCAACUUAUCUGUGUUUCUGUGAAUUAUUUAAAAAAUUAUACUGUACAAAUGAUGCAAUGUUUUUUAGUGUUAUUUGUAAUAACAUCUGCCUUUGUUAAUGUUACUUCUAUUGCCACACAACUAGUGUGUUAAUGUGUGUCAUUUUGUUUUUGUUUUGUUUAUUUUUUCCCCAAAAUGUUGCCUGAUAAUUAGGAAAAUAUUUCGUAGAUGUAAUUCAUGUCUCUUUUUCAUUUGAAUUUAAAUUGAAUUUUUUGAUGGUUCAUUUUAAUUUGUGAAGUGGUUAUUUUCUACCUUGUGUUGACUUUUGUAAAUACACUGGGAAGUUUUGAAUAUACUGUACUGAUAUAAAGCUUCUCAUCCCUGUU